rnacentral:lncRNA from 1 species
CCUGGCUGCUGCCCACACCACUGCACUGCUCGGGACCCAGGACCGACCUGUGCUGGAGCCCAGAGGCCUCCCCUCCCCCUCACCACCUUCAGCACAGACCAGGAUGGGGAGCACGAACCCCAAGCACACAGGCCUCGGUGAGUCCAGCCCCCCGCCCCCGCCGACAGGGGCCAGAGUGUGGGCGUGGUCAGCACUGACAGACCGUUCUUGGGGAUGCACCUGGCAGCACCCAGCUCUCCCUUUCAUGGCUCCGUGUGGGAGGAAGAGAUCUGGGGGCAGUGGAGUGUGGGUUACUGCAGUCAGCUCUGGGUGAUGGCCAUGCCACGGCCGGUGUAAGAGUUUACAGUGCAGGCAGGCAGGACAGAGCCAUUGCAGGCAAGGAGGAUACAGCUCCUCCUGCACCGCCCAGCAUGAUGGUCAUCAGCCCAGGGAGUGGACCAGUUUACUGAAGGCCCUGCUGCAGCCCCAUCACCUGAGCACCAGCAGGCGCUGUGUGUGCCUCUUGUUCCAAAACAAAGGGCAAACUUGCUCUGCAGGUAGAAGGGCCAGGGUCCCCUGGGACACUCGCAGUGGAUGACCCGAGAGCCUGACGAGGCUGUCCUGGGAACCGGCCAGAGGCAUGAAGCUGAGAAGCUUGUGGGACUUGCAGCCUAGGCAUCAGCCUGCCUACAGUCUGUCCUGGCCUUGGUCCUCGCCUGUGCCCAAAUAUCCGGUCUGGCACAGAUCGCGGUCUACAGCCGAGAGACACCUCCCUCUCCACGUCACACCACUGGUUACUGAGCUCAGGUCAGUGCUUACUGCUCACCAAGGUUCACACCUCAGGGGCAAGUUGUUGGAGUCAGGAAAAGUCUUCCCUGGAUAGCUAGGAACCCAGAGAGGUGGGACACUGUCAUCAGCAGAGGCCUCCUGGGGGAUUCAUGGAUGUUCCAGGCUUUACAGGAGGGGAAGCGGGCCAGUGUGCAGCACAGAGUGAGUCAGCAGCACCACUCCUGAGCGGGUGUGAUCACUCGGCCAGAGGCCUGGUGCACAGGAGGUCCUCACAGCCAUUUCCUGAUUGAGGAGAGAGGAGCUGAGACCUGGGCAGUGCGGG